rnacentral:rRNA from 1 species
GACGAACGCUGGCGGCGUGCUUAACACAUGCAAGUCGAACGAAGAGCGACGGAAGCUUGCUUCUAUCACUCUUAGUGGCGAACGGGUGAGUAACGCGUAAUCAACCUGCCCUUCAGAGGGGGACAACAGUUGGAAACGACUGCUAAUACCGCAUACGAUCUAAUCUCGGCAUCGAGGAUGGAUGAAAGGUGGCCUCUACAUGUAAGCUAUCACUGAAGGAGGGGAUUGCGUCUGAUUAGCUAGUUGGAGGGGUAACGGCCCACCAAGGCGAUGAUCAGUAGCCGGUCUGAGAGGAUGAACGGCCACAUUGGGACUGAGACACGGCCCAGACUCCUACGGGAGGCAGCAGUGGGGAAUCUUCCGCAAUGGACGAAAGUCUGACGGAGCAACGCCGCGUGAGUGAGGACGGCCUUCGGGUUGUAAAGCUCUGUUAAUCGGGACGAAAGGCCUUCUUGCGAAUAGUGAGAAGGAUUGACGGUACCGGAAUAGAAAGCCACGGCUAACUACGUG